UACUUUCCAAGCGCUCAGUACAGUGCUCUGCACACAGUAAGCACUCAAUAAAUACGACUGAAUGAAUGCAGAAGGCAUAGACAUCUCGCUCGAGACGUUUGGAUUCGAGUAGAAGAGGUGCUAAUGGCUUGCGAAAUGGCUUGAAAGUCAGAGGACCUAGAUUCCAAUCCCAGCUCUGCCAACUGCUUGCCGUGUGACCUUGGGAGCACCAGCACCACGGUGAAUACGACAAUGACGAAGAUCACGAUGGCGGCCACUAUUGCUCCAGAACCUAGAGAGAGGGGCGGGCGAAACAGGCCCAAGGGACCAGCUCGGGGCCCAAAAUGCCCCAGGUGAACCAGCCAUCUCCUGGAUUGGCCCAGUCCACACUGGGGCCCAGAAACCAGUCUGAGGCCAUACUUCAUUCUGCUGCCUGGAUCGUUCUUUUAAAA